AGAGUUUGAUUCUGGCUCAGGACGAACGCUGGCGGUGCGCCUAAUGCAUGCAAGUCUACUACUUGUGACUUCGGUCACGCUAUAGUGGUGGCAGACGGCUUAGUAACACGUAAGUAAUCUACCCUCAAGUGGGGGACAAUCCGAAGAAAUUCGGUCUAAUACCCCAUAAUGUUUUAAUAUAUAUGUAUUGAAAAGAAAGAUUUAUCGCUUUUGGAGGAGCUUGCGGCCUAUCAGGUAGUUGGUAAGGGUAAUGGCCUACCAAGCCAAAGACGGGUAACCGAAGUGAGAGCUUGAUCGGUAAGAGGGGGACUGAGACACGGCCCCCACUCCUACGGGAGGCAGCAGCAGGGAAUCUUGCGCAAUGGACUGUAUGGUCUGACGCAGCGACACCGCGUGGAGGAUGAAUGCUUUCGGGUUGUAAACUCCUUUUCUUAGGGAAGAUGAUGACGGUACCUAAGGAAUAAGCAUCGGCUAACUACGUGCCAGCAGCCGCGGUAAUACGUAGGAUGCGAGCGUUGUCCGGAAUUAUUGGGCGUAAAGGGCGUCUAGGUUGAUUAAUAAGUCCUGUGUGAAAUCUCUUGGCUCAACCAAGAAAUGUCACAGGAAACUAUUAAUCUAGAGGUCAUCAGAGGUAAGUGGAAUUCACGGAGUAGUGGUGAAAUGCGUAGAUACCGUGAGGAACACCAGAGGCGAAAGCGGCUUACUAGGAUGAACCUGACACUAAAGCCCGAAAGCGUGGGGAGCAAACCGGAUUAGAUACCCGGGUAGUCCACGCCAUAAACGAUGGAUACUAGUUAUGGGAGGCAUUGACCCAUCUGUAACGAAGCUAACGCAUUAAGUAUCCCGCCUGGGGAGUACGGCCGCAAGGUUAAAACUCAAAGAAAUUGAC
rnacentral:rRNA from 1 species